UACGUAGGGUGCAAGCGUUAAUCGGAAUUACUGGGCGUAAAGCGUGCGCAGGCGGUUUUGUAAGUCUGUCGUGAAAUCCCCGGGCUCAACCUGGGAAUUGCGAUGGAGACUGCAAGGCUAGAAUCUGGCAGAGGGGGGGUAGAAUUCCACGUGUAGCAGUGAAAUGCGUAGAGAUGUGGAGGAACACCAGCGGCGAAGGCGGCAUCCUGGACUGGUCCUGACACUCAGGAGCGAAAGCGUGGGGAGCGAGUCCGG
rnacentral:rRNA from 1 species